rnacentral:lncRNA from 1 species
AAAUAAUAAAUGCAACAAGUGAAAUGGCCAUGAGACGUGUCUAACAAAACAAAAAGGAAAAUAUAAAAAGAAUAAAUUAAGGAAAAGAAAGAUUGUUUGCCCCCAGAAAAAAAAAAGGUAAACAUGGGAAUCGAACAGCACAACUGAUUCAACAUGGGGCACUUCAUAACCAGAAGAGCUAAGGGAUUAAAAUUGGUAACAUUAACUUCAAAGAAAUUUAAAGUAGUGUGGGGCACGUGCCCCACC